rnacentral:rRNA from 1 species
GUUACUGCUAUCGAGGUUCGACUAAGCCAUGCGAGUCGAAUGUAGCAAUACAUGGCGUACUGCUCAGUAACACGUGGAUAACCUGCCCUUAGGACGGGGAUAAACCCGGGAAACUGGGUAUAAUACCCGAUAGAUCUCGAUUGCUGGAAUGCAUUGAGAUCUAAAGCUCCGGCGCCUAAGGAUGGAUCUGCGGCCUAUCAGGUAGUAGUGGGUGUAGCGUACCUACUAGCCUACRACGGGUACGGGUUGUGAGAGCAAGAGCCCGGAGAUGGAUUCUGAGACACGAAUCCAGGCCCUACGGGGUGCAGCAGGCACGAAAACUUUACAAUGCUGGAAACAGCGAUAAGGGGACCUCGAGUGCCAGGUUACAAAUCUGGCUGUCGUGAUGCCUAAAAAGCAUUGCAUAGCAAGGGCCGGGCAAGACCGGUGCCAGCCGCCGCGGUAACACCGGCGGCUCGAGUGGUAACCGUUAUUAUUGGGUCUAAAGGGUCUGUASCCGGCCGGAUAAGUCUCUUGGGAAAUCUGGCAGCUUAACUGUCAGGCUUUCAGGAGAUACUGUCUGGCUCGAGGCCGGGAGAGGUGAGAGGUACUUCAGGGGUAGGGGUGAAAUCUUGUAAUCCUUGAAGGACCACCAGUGGCGACGGCGUCUCACCAGAACGGACCUGACGGCAAGGGACGAAAGCUAGGGGCACGAACCGGAUUAGAUACCCGGGUAGUCCUAGCCGUAAACGAUACUCGCUAGGUGUCGGCCACGGUGCGACCGUUGUCGGUGCCGUAGGGAAGCCGUGAAGCGAGCCACCUGGGAAGUACGGCCGCAAGGCUGAAACUUAAAGGAAUUGGCGGGGGAGCACCACAACGGGUGGAGCUUGCGGUUUAAUUGGAUUCAACGCCGGAAAUCUUACCGGGACCGACAGCAAUAUGAAGGCCAGGCUGAAGACUUUGCCGGAUUAGCUGAGAGGUGGUGCAUGGCCGUCGUCAGUUCGUACUGUGAAGCAUCCUGUUAAGUCAGG